AUGCCGCCGGACUCUUACGAGGGUGGCCUCGGCCUCAUGCCGUCCCUCUUUAGUGGGUUCGCCUUGCGCACCAACCAGUUCAUCGCCGUGGAGUUCGACACAUUCCAAGACGCCUUGGACCCCAAUCCGAACUCCACUGACGAUCACAUCGGCAUCGACAUCAACUCCGUGAGCUCGGAGAAUUGGACAAGCUUGGGCAGCAUCGGCCUCAGACUCAGAGGCUACAUGACGGCCACCAUCUCCUUUAACAGCACCACCCAGAUGCUGGUCGCCAACCUGCAGUUUGAUGACCAUAAUAAUUCUGUCCCCGUUCAGGUCAGCAGGCAGUUACCCUUUCCGAUCAACACCUUGCUCCCAGCUCAAGUGGCAGUGGGGUUUUCUGCGGCCAGGGGCGGAUCUGGGCCCCAGGCCCCCAGGGCCCAGGCCCGGGGCGUGGCAUUUUUUUUUAGUUAUUACCUAUGUAUGUUUUUGAAUGGGCCCGGGGCUUGGCCCAGUACACAUCCAGGGCCCAGGCCAGGCAGUCCCCGUACCGCAGCCUCGCAUCGCACGGGCGCAUCAGCCACCGCUCGCCCAUGCCCGCUUCGUUCCCCAGAGCACAGACCUAGAUCGACUGGACGCAGAGGCCAGAGGACGCAGGCAGCCGCCGCCGCCGCCGCUGGUGACUUCCCUCCGCUCCGCCCUCCCCUGCUCUGCUCGCCUACUCCGCCGCGGCGCUGCUCCCCACCUGCUCGCCCGCUCCGCCUCCGCGGUGCUCGCCUGCUCCGCCGCCCUCCUACGCCCUCCGCCGCCAACCUGGGCUGGUCCCCUGCUGCUCCGGCCUCCGGUGCUCGCCGGCUCGCCGCCUCGACCUCUCCUGCCUCCAGGCGGCCACGCGGCCCCGCCGUAUUCCCUCAAUCCCUCUCAGGACUGCUGCCUCUGCUGACUGCUGCCCAGAAUUGGUAA
rnacentral:rRNA from 1 species